UGGAUUGUAGUUCAUUUC
rnacentral:piRNA from 1 species